UGGAGCCCCCGCCCCCUCCCGGGGUCUCUGUGGAGUCGCGGACGCGCCGGCUUUGAGCAUCCCUGGCGGGCCAAGGGGAGGCCUUGGGGCUGCGGCUUCCGCGGCCGCGGCCCCGCCCGCCUUCGACAUGGCCAGCUCCGGAGAGGACACGUCCAACGAGGGCGACGCGCCCCCUGCAGCAGCCACUAUGGCGGUGGGCGCCCACCUUCUCGGCUUCUCGGAUGAGAUCCUCCUACACAUCCUGAGCCACGUGCCCAGCACAGACCUGGUUCUGAACGUCCGGCGAACCUGCCGGAAGCUUGCAGUCCUGUGCCUGGACAAGAGCCUUACCCACACUGUGCUGCUGCAGAAGGACUAUGAGGCGAGCGAGGACAAGGUGAAGCAGGUGGUGAAGGAGAUCGGCCGCGAGAUCCAGCAGCUCAACAUGGCCGGCUGCUACUGGCUGUCGGGCGCCACCAUCGAGCACGUCGCCCGCUGCCGCGGCCUGGUGAAGGUCAACCUGUCGGGCUGCCACCUGACCUCCGUGCGCCUCUCCAAGAUGCUGUCGGCCCUGCAGCACCUGCGCUCCCUGGCCAUCGACGUGAGCCCCGGCUUCGAUGCCGGCCAGCUGAGCGGCGAGUGCAAGGCCACGCUGAGCCGCGUGCGGGAGCUCAAGCAGACGCUGUACACGCCCUCGUACGGCGUGGUGCCCUGCUGCACCAGCCUCGAGAAGCUGCUGCUCUACUUCGAGAUCCUCGACCGCACGCGGGAGGGCGCCGUCCUGUCGGGCCAGCUCAUGGUGGGCCAGAGCAACGUGCCCCACUACCAGAACCUGCGGGUGUUCUACGCGCGCCUGGCGCCCGGCUACAUCAACCAGGAGGUGGUGCGGCUCUACCUGGCCGUGCUCAGCGACCGCACGCCUGAGAACCUCCACGCCUUCCUCAUCUCCGUGCCCGGCAGCUUCGCGGAGAGCGGGGCCACCAAGAACCUCCUGGACUCCAUGGCCCGCAACGUCGCGCUGGACGCCCUGCAGCUGCCCAAGUCCUGGCUCAACGGCUCGUCCCUCCUCCAGCACAUGAAGUUCAACAACCCCUUCUACUUCAGCUUCAGCCGCUGCGCCCUGUCCGGCGGCCACCUGAUCCAGCGGGUCAUCAACGGCGGGAGGGACCUGCGGAGCCUGGCCAGCCUGAACCUCAGCGGCUGCGUGCACUGCCUGUCCCCGGACUCGCUGCUCCGCAAGGCGGAGGACGAUAUCGACAGCGGCAUCCUGGAGACGCUCGUGGCGUCCUGCCACAACCUGCAGCACCUCAACCUGUCGGCCGCCCACCACCACAGCGCCGACGGCCCGGGCCGCCACCUCUGCCAGCUGCUGGCCCGGCUGCGCCGCCUGCGCUCCCUGUCCCUGCCCGUGUGCUCCGUGGCCGAGGCGGCGCCGCGGGCCGACCGCGCCCCGGCCCAGCCCGCCCCGCACGCCGUGCCCCGCGGCUUCGGCAAGAAGGUGCGCAUCGGCGUGCAGUCGUACUCCGGCCCCCUCCCGGGGCAGGCGGCCCCCCAGCCCUCCUCCGUGUUCUGGGCUCUGCUGAAGAACGUGCCCUUUCUGGAACGCCUCGAGCUCAUCGGGUCCAGCUUCUCCUCUGCCAUGCCGCGCAACGAGCCCGCCAUCCGCAACUCCCUCCCGCCCUGCAGCCGGGCGCAGAGCGUCGGGGACUCGGAGGUGGCCGCCGUCGGCCAGCUGGCCUUCCUGAGGCACCUGACGCUGGCCCAGCUGCCCGGCAUCCUGACGGGCUCCGGGCUGGUCAGCAUCGGCCUGCAGUGCCAGCAGCUGCAGUCCCUGUCGCUGGCCAACCUGGGCCUGAUGGGGAAGGUGGUCUACACGUCCGCCCUCUCGGACAUGCUGAAGCAUUGCAAGCGGCUGAAGGACCUCAGGCUGGAGCAGCCCUACUUCAGCGCCAACGCCCAGUUCUUCCAGGCGCUGAGCCAGUGCUCCGCGCUGCAGCGCCUCUGCCUGGUGUCCCGCAGCGGCACCCUCCAGCCCGAGGCCGUGCUGGCCUUCAUGGCGCGCUGCCUGCACGUCGUCGUGUGUCACAUGUUCACCGGGGAGUCCCUGGCCACCUGCAAGAGCCUGCAGCAGUCCCUGCUCCGGAGACCGAGACCCUACCUGGUCUGGCCCCUGUGCUGCUCCGGGGCCCCCUGUGCCUCCUUGUCCUGUGCUCGCCACACUUAACGGUUCUUUGCUGACCAACUGUCCCACUCCCUGGACUGUGAGCUCCCUGAGGGCAGGACUCUGGGCCACCCUGUUUCCCACUUGACCGGGGACCCUUUGGACCAGUGUGUCUCUGACCCGGGCACAGACGCAGAGGACAGAUGGCGUGUGGAAGCAGCAGCAAGAACACCUAUUGGAGCACUCAGAGAUUGGGGGUGUGUAUGUGUGUGUCAGAAACCAGAAGACUCCGAGGGAGAUGGGAAUGAUUCUCCAGGUGCGUCCUGAGCCAGAACCUACAGCAGGUAUGGGGCACCCACGGCCAGCUCUCUUGAACUCCCGACCCGGCCCCCUCCAACCCUGGAAUGUGGAAUGUGCUCCCUACCCCAGGUCAAAAGGACUCCCACCGACCUCUGACCUCUGUCGCCCGCCCCUGGGGGAUUGAUGAGGAAGGGCUGUAAAGGGGGCGGCAGGGUGGCUUAGCGUGGUUCCCUUGGUUCUCUGUUCUCAUGGCUGGUCAGUCAGGCCUGGGGCCCCCCAUUUGUAUCCCAUCUCCUUGCCUGGCUUAGAUGGCUGCCACUUCUUAGCCGUGGGAGCUCGUCCCUACUCCUUGGGGUUCUCAUCUGUUAAAUGGGCACUACGGUACCAAAGUCAGAGGGGCUGUCAAAGCUGGCAUGACGCAGGGGCCAGUUUGCAUCAAAAGAAAUCUCCGAACUGGAAAAGAAGCAAACUGGGAGUUUUCUGCCACGGAAGGGGAUGGGCGGGCCUGGGUCUGCAGGGGCAGAGCGGGUCAGGGUAGCAGGAGGGGACAGAGGUACCUCUGGGGUCAGGGCUGCGGUGGAAAUUUGCUCCUGAGAUGUGGACGCACACAGGCCCGCCGGGGAGGUGCCUGGGGCGGGCUUCAGAGGCCCCAACACAGCUGGAGACUGGCAACCGAAGUGAACCCCUAAAGACCAGGCAGGAGGCAGCCCCCGCCCCCCAGGGCUCUGACUCCCCUCCACACGCGCUGCCAAGCCCUCCAUUAGUCACCCUGGCACUGACAUACAUAAAUCCAUUAGUCACACCCGCACAAACUUGCCUGCAGACUACACCCAGGCACACCCAGACAAAGGAGGCCCCCAAAGAUGCCUUGUUCAUCCUAGAACAGUGCCUAAAACAGUGUGGGCGCCCACGCAAUUAAUGGGCAGGCGGUCAGCCUCCCCCAAAGCAACCAGCACCCACAAUAACCCCUGCCAACCAGGCGCUUCCAGCCCCCCCAGAUAACCACCGCCCCCCAAUUCCAAACCUUCCCCCUACCCUCUGAGCACACAAGUACCACAAUAACCGCCCACAAAUGCCCUUGGCCAUCCCUCUUCCGCCUCUCUCUGGAGGGGGGGGGGGCGCGGCUGGCCCCGUGGCCCUCUCCCCACCGCUGUCCUCGGAGGGGUCUGAGCAGGAAAACCACUCCCCAAGGUCAGCAGAGCUCUUCAGCAGGCGGCCCCGGGAGCUGAUUUAUUGGCGGUUUAUUUGGAGAAACGCUAUCGCUCUCGGAUUCCGGAGGGGGGGAAAAAAACACGCUCGUGGUGGACUUUAACCUUGGGCUGAAACCGCAGAGCUUUGUUUUCGGAGACGCUUCCUGGGGCGCCUCGGCGGGGGCCGGGGCCGAGGCGGGGAGGCACGGCCGGAAUGCGGCUGGGCAGCCUCAUCCGCUCCCGGGCGGCGGGGCGAGCGCUCGAAUUCCUCCGGGCCCUGCCGAAGCCCUCGCGAUCCUUCCGAAUGUGCUUCUAGAAAUUCUAGGAAGGAGCGAAGCUCCCACAGUAAGAUCGUUUCGGGCCGGGCCGAGGUUUCCAAACCUUCCACCUCCGGCAUCUGCCCCGGGGCCGUUGCAGUUGUGUCACUGGCACGGUGAGGGGGAGGUGCCUACGAGGGGGUGAAGGCCUCCCCCUCUCUCGGCUGUCCCCACCGAAGUCCCGAGCAAAGAGCAAAGACCAUUUGGAGGUGAUUGUCCCUGAUCUGGCGCGUGGCCUGCUCUGCUCGGCUGAUGCGAGGUACCCGCCAGAAGGCUUGUUCCCCGCCCCUCUGGCAAAGAGACAAACAAUGCUGGUGACAUUAAGAGUUAUUAUCGUAAAUUCACCUUCUCUGGGUCUGCCCUCCGGGUGCUCCGUGACUGCUCAGGUAGAAAGACCACCACCCCUACCAGGCUGCCACCAGCGCUCCACCAAUUCCUGCUUUCCCGAUGGUUCGGCUAUAGACGCCAAAGCUGGUGGCGGAUAGGGGUGCCGACUGGGAGGCGAAAAGUCCAGGGUAUCCCUGGCAUAAAGGGAGAAAUGGGCUGGCGCGGGGUGGGGAGGUACACGAGCCCCCCCUCCGGGCCCGGCUACCGCAGACACCCUGCUUGGUCCUCAUCCCGCAUGCACACACACACACACACACACACACACACACAAGCCCACCUCCCCUAUAUCGUGCGCCUGCAGAGGACUCUUGAGGGCAGAACGAUGGCGUGGGAUUAAAGCAGGGUCUUCGGAGAGGAGCAUGCUGGCUGAGAUCUGAAAAGGCACUCUGAUCCUAACCCUGGCGUCACCCCUUAACGGUGCGGGAGUUGGGCUCAAGCCGGUGGCCGUGUGCCCAUUCCAGCCUCAACGAACCUUCCUAGGAGUAAGUGCCUGGCCCUGGUACCCCUACCCCAGGCGGAGAUCCAGUGAGGCCCGGGCAGCCUCAGGGUCCAGCAACCUCGGGGAUGGAAGGCGGUGGCACAGAACGGGGCGAGGCUGUUCCCUCUCUUUGGCGAAUGGGGACGCUCCGGCCUUGACUCCCCGCGCCGCUCCAGGGAACCCCAGGCCAUGGCGGGGAGAGCAGGGCGCCCAGUGCAGCCCGGGAUGCCAGGGCGGCCAGGAGCACCGGCGUGUGAGCGACGGGAAGGAGGUCCCGCAUGAAGAUUUAUGACCGCAUCCGGCCCCCUGUGCACCGAGCACGUCUCCGACCUCUCCGAGACAAACAGUGGAAUGGAAGACCCGACCCGGGCCGGGGAAAGCGGCCAGGGCCGGAGGCGGAGCCGAGACGCGCCGGGAUCCUCCGGGCCGAGCCUGCUGCUUCAGCCCUGGCUCUGCCCACCCAGCGCUCUUGUCCCUGCCGCGUUCGGGCUUGGGCGCCGCGUCCUUGGUCUUCCUGGAGGGUCGGGACCCCUCUUGGCUGGGCUGGCUGAACCUCGGCUCGGCGCCGAAUAGUGGCUGAGCCAGUCGCAGCACCAGAGGGAUGGCGAGAAUGCAUGUCCCGGGCGCAGCCUCUCCGGGUUUUCGCGGUGCCCGGGCCGGGAGCUCCCUGGUUGCCAGACCCGGGACCUGGAAAACUGGCGCUUUUAAGCCCCAGAUCCGUCCAGGGCUUCCCGAGCUGGUGGCAGAGGCCGGCGAACGCCCGAGGUCCCUUUCACCAAGCAGCUGGCACAGCGAGGGAACUGAGGUCCCCACCGGGAAGGCGGUUUGGGGAGACGGGUGGUGGUGGCUCAUAUGUCUUCGCCUACGAAAGGAUGCCCAUUUUCUUCCCGGGAAGGGUAAGGGGAGAAUGUAUUCAGGCGGCCAGCAACACCAGGGUUCCAGAAAGAGUCGGGUUCAGCCCUGAAAAGAACAGAGUUGACCAAGGCGCGGGGCUGUGCCUCCGCGACAAAGGCGCGGCCGAGGAGAACCGGACUCAAAGUUGGCCUGUCCUUUGGUUUUAAAACAAAGGGGAAUAAUAAUUUUGUCAGUGGGGCCUCGUGCACGGAGCCGGAGGCCUAGAACACACAAAAGGCCUCGGCUCCGGCGGCCCAGGCUGGCCGUGGACAAGAGCGCGGGCCUGGGCAGGCUCUCCGGGAACUGAGGUUCAAGUUGCGAGGAGGUCCCCCCUCCAGCCGAUUUUCCGCCCAGUCAGUACAAAACACACACACACACACACACACACACUGCGUCAACACACUUUUUGGCCAAGGAUCCCGCCGGGUAAACACAAGUAUGUGGCGGGGGGGUGGGGGGAGAAGGGGGAGGCGGAAGAUGGCGGCCAGACCCGGGCGGACCGCGGACCGGGCGCCUCCUACCCGCCCCGCGCAGGGCGCCCGGCCGGGCUUUGACAUCUCAGUGUGGUCCGCCGGAGCGGGCAGGGUGCUUCCGCAGACCCCGAAGCUUGGCAAGGGAUUCCCCAGAGGUGCCCGACGACCGGCGGCGGGGGUCUGCGACGGAGCCCGGCUGCGCCCACCACUCGGCCUGGGAUCCGUCCCCACCCCCCCCACCCCCGCCCCAAGAUGGCUCCCGGCCGCUGUUUACCCAGCGACUGCGGGGGCGCCGGGGCGCGGGGCCCGGCGGGCGGGGGCGAGGGGGCGGCAAAGACAAGGGCGCGCACCGAUCGGCCGGGGCGGGCGGCUCCUCGGCGGGGCCCGCUGCGCCCCCACGAACGCCGCGCUCGGAGAGCCGGCGCUGGCAGGCCGUCCUGCGCACCCCGCGGCCAGGACCCGGGAGCAGCUGCCUCCGUGUCCCCAGGCCCGGCGCCCGGCCGGGCUCCGGAGGCGACCCGCGCGGCCGCGGGUGUGAGUGUGUGCCGGGAGGGCGGCGCGAGGGGGCUGGGGCCCACAAAGGCCCAGGAGGAGGGGGCAGGCGGAGGGGGGGGGGUCUCGCCUGCCCCGAACCUCGACCCUAAUGAAAUGCAGGCUCGGAUCGCCACGCAGAGAAAGGCACAUACUUGGAAAAUGCAAACGCCAUUGGCAAAUGCAGGGCAAACAGGCAGAAUUUUUAUUAGCAACUAAAUGAUUUAUGGCACACAUACCCCGCCAUCACAAUUACGGCGUCUUGGAGCAUCCAGGGGUGAAAACAUUAAACAUUUAUAAAAAUCGGC